UUCUGACUGUUGUUUUUCUCCCCUUGGCUUAGGAAAGAACUAUGUUGUUGAAUACCCAUUCAACAAGCAUUUACUUCUGAACAUCUGGAAACUAGGUAAAAAAAAAUUAAAAAUGAGAGAGACACCUGGCACUCCAAAGUGAAAGCUAUUCUCCAAUGACUUCUUUUAGCCUGCCCUAUCUCCCCAAGGGGAAUCAGUUGAAAAAAUGGGAUGGCAGAGGAUGAAUCAGAAGUGUUCCUGCCAAAUUGGGGCACUUUUGGAGUAUGAUCAAAAACAGUAUCUCCUGUGGUCAGCUGCCAACAUCUCACAGAAUUGCUUUGGUCCAGCAAGGAAAAUCUGUCCACAUAGGCAAGGCAGAGGGGGAUAUUAACUCUGCAUUGAACUACGGGACUCACUGGGCUUCGUUUAGCUGCUUGGUGUGCCUUUUGAUACUAAACAAGAUGUCAAUCUCUAUCUAUACCAGCCAGUACAUCGUCAUCUGGAGCAAGCUGUCGGGCUUAUUACAAAUAGAUUAGGGCAGGGAUGGGCAAAGUGUGGAUUAUAAAAUCACUAUAAGCAUAUUUAAAAUUUAUUAUAUAAAAUAUAAUUAGAAAAAACAGUUAAUCAAGUACAAUGGAAAAGACAUUAUUUGCUAAUAAUGAGUGGGGGAUUUCAGUGAAUUGAAUAAUAAAGACUGAGUAUCCCCCAUCCAAAAUGCUUG